UUGACGUUGGAUUACCAGUGAGCGGCGGACGGGUGAGUAACACGUGGGCAACCUGCCCUGAAGCGGGGGAUAACAUCUGGAAACAGGUGCUAAUACCGCAUAACAACGAAAACCACAUGGUUUUCGUUUCAAAGAUGGUUUCGGCUAUCACUUCAGGAUGGGCCCGCGGUGCAUUAGCUAGUUGGUAAGGUAACGGCUUACCAAGGCAAUGAUGCAUAGCCGAGUUGAGAGACUGAUCGGCCACAAUGGAACUGAGACACGGUCCAUACUCCUACGGGAGGCAGCAGUAGGGAAUCUUCCACAAUGGGCGCAAGCCUGAUGGAGCAACACCGCGUGAGUGAAGAAGGGUUUCGGCUCGUAAAACUCUGUUGUUGGAGAAGAACGUGCGUGAGAGUAACUGUUCACGCAGUGACGGUAUCCAACCAGAAAGUCACGGCUAACUACGUGCCAGCAGCCGCGGUAAUACGUAGGUGGCAAGCGUUAUCCGGAUUUAUUGGGCGUAAAGCGAGCGCAGGCGGUUGCUUAGGUCUGAUGUGAAAGCCUUCGGCUUAACCGAAGAAGGGCAUCGGAAACCGGGCGACUUGAGUGCAGAAGAGGACAGUGGAACUCCAUGUGUAGCGGUGGAAUGCGUAGAUAUAUGGAAGAACACCAGUGGCGAAGGCGGCUGUCUGGUCUGCAACUGACGCUGAGGCUCGAAAGCAUGGGUAGCGAACAGGAUUAGAUACCCUGGUAGUCCAUGCCGUAAACGAUGAGUGCUAGGUGUUGGAGGGUUUCCGCCCUUCAGUGCCGGAGCUAACGCAUUAAGCACUCCGCCUGGGGAGUACGACCGCAAGGUUGAAACUCAAAGGAAUUGACGGGGGCCCCGCACAAGC
rnacentral:rRNA from 1 species